AUGUGACUAAAACAACUAUAAGAAAAAAAAGUAUAAAUUCUUCUGCCAUAGAGCAAAUCACGUCCUUUCUAUAGAGUGUAAUCAAGUGUGUUCCGUAAAACCUGACUGGAAGCUGACACCAGAAGAGAGAUAACUGCUGGCUUUUCCUAGUUCCUUCUUACACAGGUUGCAUGUGCAUUGCUCAUGGCGGGUGAGAAUCUGGAAAACCAUGUUGAUGUGAAGAACAUUCUUGUUGAGAUGGGAACCUACUUUCAAGUACCGGAUGAUUAUUUGGAUUGCUUUGGGGAUCCUGAUACUAUUGGAAAGGACAACUAUGGGAGUGCAGAUCCAGAAAAUGUUGCUAAAGUAAAGGCCUUGUAUAACGAGCUUAAUCUUAAGGUUUGAACUUCAUCUACAUCUACCUCAUUAAUAAUUUGAGGAGUAUGAGAGCAAGAGCUAUGAGAAGCUUUUACUUCCUACUGUAUUGAUUUACAAAUGCUUUACUUAUUA